rnacentral:rRNA from 1 species
AUUGAACGCUGGCGGCAUGCUUUACACAUGCAAGUCGAACGGUAACAGGCCUUCGGGUGCUGACGAGUGGCGAACGGGUGAGUAAUGCAUCGGAACGUGCCCAGAGGUGGGGGAUAACGCAGCGAAAGCUGUGCUAAUACCGCAUGUGAUCUGAGGAUCAAAGCGGGGGACCAAGCAGCAAUGUUUGGCCUCGCGCCUCUGGAGCGGCCGAUGUCAGAUUAGGUAGUUGGUGGGGUAAAGGCCUACCAAGCCGGCGAUCUGUAGCUGGUCUGAGAGGACGACCAGCCACACUGGGACUGAGACACGGCCCAGACUCCUACGGGAGGCAGCAGUGGGGAAUUUUGGACAAUGGGCGCAAGCCUGAUCCAGCAAUGCCGCGUGCGGGAAGAAGGCCUUCGGGUUGUAAACCGCUUUUGUACGGAACGAAAAGGCUCUGGCUAAUACCUGGGGCUGAUGACGGUACCAUAAGAAUAAGCACCGGCUAACUACGUG